GAUGAACGCUAGCGGCAGGCCUAAUACAUGCAAGUCGAACGGGAUUCAGGUGCUUGCACCUGAUGAGAGUGGCGUACGGGUGCGUAACGCGUAUGCAACCUACCUUAAUCAGGGGGAUAGCCCGAAGAAAUUCGGAUUAACACCGCAUAAAAACACAGCCUGGCAUCAGGUAAUGUUCAAAUAUUUAUAGGAUUAAGAUGGGCAUGCGUGUCAUUAGCUAGUUGGCGAGGUAACGGCUCACCAAGGCGACGAUGACUAGGGGAUCUGAGAGGAUGACCCCCCACACUGGUACUGAGACACGGACCAGACUCCUACGGGAGGCAGCAGUAAGGAAUAUUGGUCAAUGGAGGCAACUCUGAACCAGCCAUGCCGCGUGCAGGAAGACUGCCCUAUGGGUUGUAAACUGCUUUUAUGCCAGAAUAAACCUUGAUUCGUGAAUCAGGCUGAAUGUAUGGUAAGAAUAAGGAUCGGCUAACUCCGUGC
rnacentral:rRNA from 1 species